UACGACCAUAUUACACUGAAACAUUGGUUCCCUUAUGAUCAUCUAAAUUAAGCAAUGUUGAGCCUGGUCAGUACCAAAAUGGGUGAUUGCUUGGGAAUACCAGGUGCCAU